CCGGGAUCUCAAACUUUUUUGAACAGCCAAAUCUUCAAACUCCAUUAAGAGAAAUACUUUUCAGAACGGUCAGUGUUUACAGUGUAUGAAAACAACAUGCUGUGUAAACAUGGCUCUCAUUAAAGCUGGGAGUUAGGACCCAAAGAUGUUGUAGGGCUCUCAAAAUGCAAUUUGAAAGCCAGUGGGCACAUCAGCCUCCUCGGUCUGCAGAUGAGGAGAAAUGAGACCCAGGGUGGUUAUGUGAUCGGCGAAAGGGGACAGAGGACACAGUUUUCCCUGUGCUGACCUCUACUUUAAAUCCAGUAUCUUGAAGGAUGGUCUGUGCCUGACAGACACCUCCAGUCAGCCCCUGUUGCGCCCCUUACCACAGAAGCCUUUCAGGUCCCUCCCAGCCCAGGCUAACGUAGAUGUCCUGAAUCUGAAAACCCCCACAAUGCCGUGCUGCGUCCAAGGAUGGGGACAGAAGGUCCAGGCUUCAGGCUGCUAAGGGCCCCUCGGGCUCAGUCACCUUGGCAAGAAGCCACCCGGAUGUGGUGGGUGGCGAACAGGAUGGGGCGGAGAGUCCUGGCCGUUCUGGGACACCGACUGGAUGGGCCACUUUCGCGGGAAUCCCGCAAACCACUCAGAAACGAGGUGAAGGCAAUGGGAGCCCACUUGGUUUGUCGCUCUUUGGGGAAAGCAGAAUGCUUCGAUUUCGGGACAAGGACCCCCUGAAGGCAAUAAGGAUUAAAG
rnacentral:lncRNA from 1 species